rnacentral:rRNA from 1 species
UGCAGUCGAACGAAGUAGCAAUACUUAGUGGCAGACGGGUGAGUAACAUGUAGGUAUCUGCCCUUUGGCCUGGAAUAACACGAGGAAACUUGUGCUAAUACCGGAUAAGUCUUUACGGAGAAAGCUUUAUGCACCAUUGGAUGAGCCUGCACUUGAUUAGUUUGUUGGUGGGGUAAUGGCCUACCAAGACUGUGAUCAAUAGCUGAUUUGAGAGGAUGAUCAGCCACAUUGGGACUGAGACACGGCCCAAACUCCUACGGGAGGCAGCAGUGGGGAAUCUUGCACAAUGGAGGAAACUCUGAUGCAGCGAUGCCGCGUGAGUGAAGAAGGCCCUUGGGUUGUAAAGCUCUUUCGUCGGGGAAGAAAAUGACUGUACCCGAAUAAGAAGGUCCGGCUAACUUCGUGCCAGCAGCCGCGGUAAUACGAAGGGACCUAGCGUAGUUCGGAAUUACUGGGCUUAAAGAGUUCGUAGGUGGUUGAAAUAGUUGGUGGUGAAAUCCCAGAGCUUAACUCUGGAACUGCCAUCAAAACUUUUCAGCUAGAGUAUGAUAGAGGAAAGCAGAAUUUCUAGUGUAGAGGUGAAAUUCGUAGAUAUUAGAAAGAAUACCAAUUGCGAAGGCAGCUUUCUGGAUCAUUACUGACACUGAGGAACGAAAGCAUGGGUAGCGAAGAGGAUUAGAUACCCUCGUAGUCCAUGCCGUAAACGAUGUGUGUUAGACGUUGGAAAUUUAUUUUCAGUGUCGCAGGGAAACCGAUAAACACACCGCCUGGGGAGUACGACCGCAAGGUUAAAACUCAAAUGAAUUGACGGGGACCCGCACAAGUAGUGGAGCAUGUGGUUUAAUUCGAAGAUACGCGCAGAACCUUACCAACACUUGACAUGUUCGUCGCGACUCUAAGAGAUUAGAGUUUUCGGUUCGGCCGGACGAAACACAGGUGCUGCAUGGCUGUCGUCAG